rnacentral:rRNA from 1 species
AUUGAACGCUGGCGGCAGGCCUAACACAUGCAAGUCGAGCGGAUGAAGGGAGCUUGCUCCUGGAUUCAGCGGCGGACGGGUGAGUAAUGCCUAGGAAUCUGCCUGGCAGUGGGGGAUAACGUCCGGAAACGGGCGCUAAUACCGCAUACGUCCUGAGGGAGAAAGUGGGGGAUCUUCGGACCUCACGCUAUUAGAUGAGCCUAGGUCGGAUUAGCUAGUUGGUGGGGUAAAGGCCUACCAAGGCGACGAUCCGUAACUGGUCUGAGAGGAUGAUCAGUCACACUGGAACUGAGACACGGUCCAGACUCCUACGGGAGGCAGCAGUGGGGAAUAUUGGACAAUGGGCGAAAGCCUGAUCCAGCCAUGCCGCGUGUGUGAAGAAGGUCUUCGGAUUGUAAAGCACUUUAAGUGGGGAGGAAGGGCAGUAAGUUAAUACCUUGCUGUUUUGACGUUACCAACAGAAUAAGCACCGGCUAACUUCGUG